UUACUUUGUUACGAUUUUGGUUCCUGUUGCUGUUUAAUCAGUAGGGAUUAAAAGGGAAUCCUGUUAAAAUCAGGAACUAUCCCCGUAGCUGUAAGUUUCAAUAACUACAAUGCAUCUUUGCCACUGACCUUUUUGGUUGGGAAGGCGCAUUUGAGGAAACAAGUCAGAAGACCUGCCAAAACAAUAUUAAUCCG
rnacentral:ncRNA from 2 species